AUGGCGGAGGGGAAGAACUUGUUCAAGGAUCUUUCACUCUUUCGUAUCCUGUGCCUCAACUGCGCUGGUCGGAAGGAGAAGCGGAAAUGUUCCGGAUGGAGCGACCUCGCCAGGACACGCCGGUUCUCUCCAAAUCUCCCGGCGAGAGCGUGGAUCCUGGCCGACGGUACCGAUAGCAAUUGUCUCUCGUGGUGCCGACAAUAUCCGGGAAAGGCGAUUCAGUUCCUGUUUCAUUCCACGUAUACUGGCUCAGUAAUUCCAAAGGGGGCCGUGGACGGCUUCACCGCCCGGAGACCCGAUACAAAGACAUUCAUUCUCAGCUCGGCCAGCGUGCGCCCGGAGCAGUCGGCCGUUUACUUCUGCGCAUGCAGUCCACACAGUGGCUCAGCGACAAGCCGGGGCCCGACAAAAACCUUCACCGGCGACAGAAAGUAG